CCCGCUGAACUUAAGCAUAUUAUUAAGCGGAGGAAAAGAAACUAAAAAGGAUGUCCUUAGUAGUGGCGAAUGAAUAGGACAAAGCUCAAAUUUAAAAUCUAGCCUUUUAGGCUCGAAUUGUAGUUUUCCGAUCGUUUAUCACGGAAAUAUUGUUGAAAUGUAAGUUCUUUGGAAUAAGAUAUCAAAGAGGGUGAGAGUCCCGUAUUUAAUUUCAGCAUAUAUUUCAUUACGUGUUAAUAGAUUGAUGAGUCGGGUUGUUUGGGAUUGCAGCCCAAAGUAGGUGGUAGAUUUCAUCUAAAGCUAAAUAUCUCGGGGAGACCGAUAGCAAAGAAGUACUGUGAAGGAAAGGUGAAAAGAACUUUGAAAAGAAGGUUAAAAGUACUUGAAAUUGUUAAAAGGGAAACGAAUGGAACUAGUGUUCAUAAUUAUAUAAUUCAGCUGUAUAGAUUUAUAUUACUUUGUGUUAUAGAGUUGACAAAACCUAUAUAAUAAUUUAAUAUUUUUUUAUCGGUUCAUUUUAUAUAAUAAUGAGUCAAUAUCAAUUUUUGAAAUUGGAGAAAGUCUAUAAUAAAGGUAGACAUUCACUAUGUAUUUAUAUAUAGUUGGGUGUUGUUAUAUUAUUUAGUCUCAUACAAUUUCAAAGGUUGAGGAUAAAAACAUAGGCUUUAGCAAGGGAAAUUAUUCAACCUAUUGAAAUAUAUUUUAUUUAAUUGCUUAGCAAUAUUUAUUAUUUAUUUUAAUGGCGAGGUAAUCCUAUUUCUAUGUUAGGGAUAUUGACAAAAUAGUUUCAUUCGGCCCGUCUUGAAACACGG
rnacentral:rRNA from 1 species